rnacentral:tRNA from 1 species
GCCUCGGUGGCUCAGCCUGGCUAGAGCGGUCCCCUCGUAGCAAUGAGCGAGAAAGGGACAGAUCCCGGGUUCAAAUCCCGGCCGGGGCU